GUCUAUUGAUGGCCUUACCGAACGGAGGGUGAUUCCUGUCUAAUAGGGGGCUUGAUAUAAUAAUAAUAAUACAACUUUCAGCAACGGAUCUCUUGGCUCUCGCAUCGAUGACGAACGCAGCGAAUUGCGAUAAGUAAUGUGAAUUGCAGAUUAUCAGUGAAUCAUCGAAUUUUUGAACGCAUCUUGCGCUCCUUGGUAUUCCGAGGAGCAUGCCUGUUUGAGUGUCGGUUAAUUUAUCAACCAUGUCUUUUGGUAGGCAUCGGCUUGGAGUUGGGGGCUUUGCCGGUCCUUGAUGGAUCGGCUCUCCUGAAAUGCAUUCGUGAAGUGUCUUCUUUGGCGGACGUGAUAAUCACCGAUCGUCCUGGCUGCUUUGGAGGAUGCUUUGCUUCGAACUCGACGUUGUUAUUAGGAAGGACGGACGUGGGGCUACCGCUUGGCCAUGGCUUAUUAGCAUCGGACGAACGCAUCAGCUAUUAGUCUGGGUGAACGGCCGGGGUCGACAAGCUUUCAACUACUAGUCUGGACGAACGCACGUCAAACGUGGACAUGGUGGACGUAGUUAUUAGGAUGGACGAACGCGCGACUACUAGUCUGAACGAACGCUACGGUAGUCAUUAGGGUGGACGAACGUGCGGCGAGUCGGCGAUGGCCAUUAACAUAUCAGACGUGAGUCUUUUGGUGUGAACGCUUGGACCGACGCGCUCAAACUACUAGUCUGAACGAACGCUAGCGUAGUCAAUUAGGACGGACGAAGAUCGCGCCAUCAGUCUGACCGAGGGCACGUCGACCUACACAAACCGUGACUCGACCUCAAAU
rnacentral:misc_RNA from 1 species